rnacentral:rRNA from 1 species
UGUUUCGGCAAGGGGGUCAUCCCGACUUACCAACCCGAUGCAAACUGCGAAUACCGGAGAAUGUUAUCACGGGAGACACACGGCGGGUGCUAACGUCCGUCGUGAAGAGGGAAACAACCCAGACCGCCAGCUAAGGUCCCAAAGUCAUGGUUAAGUGGGAAACGAUGUGGGAAGGCCCAGACAGCCAGGAUGUUGGCUUAGAAGCAGCCAUCAUUUAAAGAAAGCGUAAUAGCUCACUGGUCGAGUCGGCCUGCGCGGAAGAUGUAACGGGGCUAAACCAUGCACCGAAGCUGCGGCAGCGACGCUGAUGCGUUGUUGGGUAGGGGAGCGUUCUGUAAGCCUGUGAAGGUGUGCUGUGAGGCAUGCUGGAGGUAUCAGAAGUGCGAAUGCUGACAUAAGUAACGAUAAAGCGGGUGAAAAGCCCGCUCGCCGGAAGACCAAGGGUUCCUGUCCAACGUUAAUCGGGGCAGGGUGAGUCGACCCCUAAGGCGAGGCCGAAAGGCGUAGUCGAUGGGAAACAGGUUAAUAUUCCUGUACUUGGUGUUACUGCGAAGGGGGGACGGAGAAGGCUAUGUUGGCCGGGCGA